UGUGAUGAGGCAUGCAAGUCGAACGGAAUAAUGACUUCGGUUGUUAUUUAGUGGCGGAAGGGUUAGUAAUACAUAGAUAAUCUGUCCUCAACUUGGGAAUAACGGUUGGAAACGACCGCUAAUACCGAAUGUGGUAUGUUUAGGCAUCUAAAACAUAUUAAAGAAGGGGAUCUUAGGACCUUUCGGUUAAGGAAGAGUCUAUGGGAUAUCAGCUUGUUGGUGGGGUAAUGGCCUACCAAGGCUUUGACGUCUAGGCGGAUUGAGAGAUUGACCGCCAACACUGGGACUGAGACACUGCCCAGACUUCUACGGAAGGCUGCAGUCGAGAAUCUUUCGCAAUGGACGAAAGUCUGACGAAGCGACGCCGCGUGUGUGAUGAAGGCUCUAGGGUUGUAAAGCACUUUCGCUUGGGAAUAAGAGAAAUUGGCUAAUAUCCAAUUGAUUUGAGCGUACCAGGUAAA
rnacentral:rRNA from 1 species